rnacentral:misc_RNA from 1 species
UUUCCGUAGGUGAACCUGCGGAAGGAUCAUUCAUAAUAAAGUGUUUUAUGGCACUUUUUAAAAAUCCAUAUCCACCUUGUGUGCAAUGUUAGAUCUCGUCAAUCUUGGCGAGAUUUUUAUACAUCAACUCAUUCUUUAACUAAUUUGUCUGAAAAAUAUUAUGAAUACUUAAUUCAAAAUACAACUUUCAACAACGGAUCUCUUGGCUCUC